GAGAUGAUAGAUUAAAGGAGUAGUGGAGCCUCGAUCUGAGUGCCAAUGUAUCAGAAGUAGGUCACAUACUAAGAAGCUAUAAGAAGAAGUCUAGAUAUUUCCAUUCUAGAGAAGGAGUGGGAAAUGAUAAAGUUGGAUUAACUAGGUUGUCAGGGAAUACAAAUACAAUUGUCCUAUAAGGAAAGAGACCCAGUUUGCUUUCCAAAGUUGAUAAAGGGUACACUUAGCCCUUGAAGGGAACUCUACCUAACUAGUUAUAUAAGAUGGAUAGAGGUUGGUCUA
rnacentral:misc_RNA from 1 species